UGUUAUCUGUGUGUGACAUUGACAAUAUAUUUGGGUAUAUUCGAAUUUUUCAAGUGAAAAAGUGUUAAAGAGCAAUUUUUAUUGCUCAAUUCGUUAGUUUCCGUACAAAUAUAUUUGUUAAUAAGAAAGAACAAAUUCUACCCAAAUUCCUAAAUUUUCUGAAAAAAGAGAAUGAUGAUGUGGGCCUAUUGCUAAAGAAUAGGAGCAGGUAUUCAUACAAAUAUGGCGAUAGAGAGCUUGAAUAUAUAUCUGAAAUUUAAAAAAAUGGAAGGAAAAGAAAAUAAGAGUUGAAAAGCUAUCAGAGUUGUUGGAAGAAAUAGUUGAUGAGAAGAUGUGGAUGAAAAUUAUGAGAAAUGAAAGACCUAACUCCAACAACUAUCAGUACAAAAUUUCUGUAGAAUCUCAUAAAAAUGCAGAAACAAUAAAAGACUUAAUAGAGGAGAUCUGUAUAUGAUGAUAAUUAUUAUAAUACACAAUUUAUAUCAUCAUGUGAUCCAGAUUGUCGAUUAGGAUAUUGUAGUCAUUGUUAAAUAUGCUUUCACAAAUAUAAAUAAUCAAUUCUGUUUCAGAUGACGACAACAAUUUAGAAAUUAAUGAGCCAUCAACGAGUAGAAUUAACUAUAAUGAAGAUGUGGGACAUUUUAUACAUGAAACCAUUUCUAGUUUACAAAAUUUCAUAUCUAUUAGCAAUGACACAGAAAAUGAUUUGCUGAAAUGUGGACAAAAAUUGAAGACUCAAAAUCCAGAAGGGAAGAGGAGAUUAUUUGCAACUAUCAAUGCGAAAUUUUCCAAACAUAGGGUCAAUGUCAAGAAGAACUAACAUCUAAGAAGUGAAAAUUGAGGAGCAAAUCCAUUUCCCAAAAAAAAAAAUGAAAAACUGAAAAAAUUGAUUUUUUUUUUCAUUUUCAGUAGAGACUACCAGAACUUCAUUGCAAAUAAUUAAGAACAUUGAAAUGUGAUUGACAAAAUUCGAGGUAAUAAAUUCUAACUGAACCAGCAUGUUACACAUAUAAGAGACGUACAAUGUUCAAAUGUGGAUAGAAGAACCAGUCAAUAUCAAAAUAAAAUAUGAUAUACAUCCUAAACAUGAAUUAAUGAAAUUAAUUAUAUAUAAUUUUGAACAACUGUAAGUUUUCUUACAAUGAUCUUUUUCCUGUAUUGAUUAUACGAUUUAAUUUCCCAUAAUUAUAUCAAAGUCUGAAUAAUGUAGAUUGAGAAUAACUCAAUAAAAGUGUACUCUUAACUGUAUUGAACAGCCAAAAGAAAUCGUUUUUGAGAUUCAUGAGUAGUUUCUGAAUAAAUGAGGGCCACAAUCUGAAAUCAUCUUUUUCUUGCCCUGAUCCUUCACAUAACACAUUCAUUUAAAUUUUGAAAUUAUUAUCAAGGCGAAA